UGUCCCAAGGGUGGUGAUCUACU
rnacentral:miRNA from 2 species